rnacentral:rRNA from 1 species
GUGCACCAGGCGAGAAACCUCCGCAAUACACGAAAGUGUGACGGGGCCAUCCCGAGUGCCGUCCGCUGAGGACGGCUUUUCCCCAGUGUACACAGCUGGGGGAAUAAGGAGAGGGCAAGCCUGGUGUCAGCCGCCGCGGUAAUACCAGCUCUCCGAGUGGUGGGGACGCUUAUUGGGCCUAAAGCAUCCGUAGCCGGCUGGGCAAGUCCUCCGUUAAAUCCAACGAUUCAAUCGUUGGGCUGCGGGGGAUACUGUCCAGCUUGGGGGCGGGGAGAGGCCGACGGUAUUCCCGGGGUAGGGGUGAAAUCCUAUAAUCCCGGGAGGACCACCAGUGGCGAAGGCUGUCGGCUAGAACGCGCCCGACGGUGAGGGAUGAAAGCUGGGGGGAGCGAACCGGAUUAGGAUACCCCGUAGUCCC